GACGGGGGAUGCAAGGGUUAUCCGGAAUCACUGGGCGUAAAGCGUCUGCAGGUGGUUUCCUAAGUCCACUGUUAAACCUUGAGGCUCAACCUCAAAUCUGCAUUGGAAACUAGGAGACUUGAGUAUAGUAGGGGUAGAGGGAAUUUCCAGUGGAGCGGUGAAAUGCGUAGAUGUUGGAAAGAACACCGAUGGCGAAGGCACUCUACUGGGCUAUUACUGACACUCAGAGACGAAAGCUAGGGGAGCAAAUGGG
rnacentral:rRNA from 1 species